UAUCUCUGUAGAGUCUGCAUAUCAAUAAGCGGAGGAAAAGAAACUAACAAGGAUUCCCUUAGUAACGGCGAGUGAGGCGGGAAGAGCUCAAAUUUGAAAUCUUCAAGGUUCUACCUUGACGAAUUGUAGUUUAAAGAAGUGUUUUCUGUUGGAGUUUCGGUAAAAGUUCUUUGGAAUAGGACAUCAUAGAGGGUGAGAAUCCCGUAUUUGACUUAUUCAUUCUAGCGUUGUGAUACACUUUCAAAGAGUCGGAUUGUUUGGGAAUGCAGUCCAAAAUGGGUGGUAAACUUCAUCUAAAGCUAAAUAUUGGCGAGAGACCGAUAGCGAACAAGUACCGUGAGGGAAAGAUGAAAAGAACUUUGAAAAGAGAGUUAAACAGUACGUGAAAUUGUCAAAAGGGAAGCGUUUGACACCAGUGUUGUUUUCUCGAAAAUCAAUUACAAAUGGCUUGAUUUUGUGUUGUAUUGACCUUAUCAAGCUUUCUUCACUUUUUUCGAGUCUUUCUUAAUGCACUUUUCGGUUAACAAGUCAACAUCAAUUUCUUUUGUUGUAAAAGAGUAUUCGGAAGGUGGCUUUCUUCUCGGAGAAAGUGUUUAUAGCCCUAUACUUCUACAAUCGGAGAGAUUGAGGUCUGCAGCGUAGAUCCUUCGGGGUUAGAUACAUUUGUGCUAAGUUGUAGCUUUUCAUAGACAACUUGUUGACUAUGUUUAGUCAUGCGGCUUACUCGCUUAUGCUAUUUUACCUACGCUUAGGAUGUUGACUGAUAUGUAGUCGU
rnacentral:rRNA from 1 species